CUUCAAGACCCUUUGAAAGAACAGCUGCCUAGCCCAGGCAACCUCUCUUCUUAGCCUACACGGAAGAAAUGAAAUUCACUCCCAAAGUGCGGGUGUUUUCAGGACCCAGUGAACUGGAACUUGCAGCGUCUUCUGCAAGCUCCGUUGGGCCGGCCUUUCAUGUGAGCAGGAAGGAAAUGACUGACAACUUUCUCGUCUUUAUGGAAGGCGGACUUUAUUUCCAGCUCUCAGGUCAAAAGGCGGCGGAAAGAAAACAAAACCACUAAGAGAUAAAGGCUAAAAAUAAUGUCCUGUGGGGUGAAUCAACCCAGUUUGGGACCCUGAAGACAGCAACAAGGCAAGGAUGUGCGUAGGGCUAAAUCUGCGUCAUCCUUCACAGGUGGUCGUGACCAGAAUCAAAAUGCCUGGGCAAGAGAGGAAGAAGUUCUGCAAACAGACAAGCACAUAACACCACCCUGACACUGAGCAGAUCAUCUCCAGCUCCCUUCAUAUUAUGCUACUGGAGACCAAUCUUUAUAACCAGAAGAGGAGGAGGAGGAGUUAUUCUAACCUGUCGUUUUCUUCCUUUACAUCACUUUUUCCUUUUAGGUCAUAUCCAAAAAAGGAAGGUAAAUAUAUGUUUUAAAUCAUCUGCAGCAGUGUCUUAAAUUAUGUCAUUUCUUAAAGGAGGAGGAAGAGGGAGUAGAGGAAGAAAUAAGAAAGAAAACGGGA
rnacentral:lncRNA from 1 species